GAUGACAUCGUCUUAUAAUAUUAAUGCAAGGCCAGUCGUCCGGGCGGGACGACCCGUUUAUAACGACGUGCGCCGCAAACUAUUUAUACCGGAAAUCCUGAAAUUCGUAAACCGUACGUCAUGUUUACGUCUUCAGAUCUACGGUAAUGUGUCUGCCGAAUCGAGUCCGCCAGUUCAGUUGUUCUCCGACAGUGAUACGUGCAUAACUGAUAGUACGCGGCAGGCGACAUGGCGGUAUGUGUGCAGAAGACAUAGUA